rnacentral:lncRNA from 1 species
AUGAGGGUCCAUUUUGGGGAGAUACAAUUUUGGAGCAAAUGUUCUUUGGUUUUAGGCCUAUCAAGACAUGUUCCUGACCACCUGGAAGACUGUGUGACUGGGCAGAGAAGAGAGUGCUUUUACCAGCUUCAUCCUCCUUCCAGGAUGUUGACCAAGGCAGGAAGAUUCGGUAGCCUCUCAAGAAAGACUAGUGAUGAAUUCAUUUUGCCAAGACAGAAAGCAAAGUAAUAGAACCAGAGUAAUGGGAUGACUGAGCCAAGGUGUGAAAUCAAAUAAAAACAUAGAUUUGAGGACGCCAUGAAGAUGAAAGGAACUUGAUUAUAAAGUGACAUGCUGGCCAGGCACAGUGGCUCACACCUGUAAUUCCAGCACUUUGGGAGGCCAAGGCAGGUGGAUCGUCUGAGGUUAGUUCUAUACCAGCCUGACCAAUAUGGUGAAACCCUGUCUCUACGAAAAAUACAAAAAUUAGCCAGGCAUGGUGGUGUGUGCCUGUAGUCCAAACUACUCAGGAUGCUGAGACAACAGAAUUGCUUGAACCUGGGAGGCAGAGGUUGCAGUGAGCUGAGAUCAUGCCACUGCACAACAGCCUGGGUGACAGAGCAAGAUGUUGUCUCAAAAAAAUAAAAUAGAAAAUAAAGUUACAUGUUACAAAAUGUAAAGUCUGCCAGCAUCAAUGUCUUCUGCAUCACCUUGGUGUCCUCACUUGCAUUGAUUCAACUGCACAAAUCUUCCGCUGCUCUUGCAAAUUCACUCUUCACCUGGCAGAGACCUUAGCUUAGAUCCCAGAAAUCUUUCUGAUUGUAAGAAAGGUCUUAAGAGAUCAAGCUAUUUAUUUCACAAUAACUGAGACAC